rnacentral:piRNA from 1 species
AGGUACAGCCAGUGUAACACA